rnacentral:ncRNA from 1 species
CUUUUGGUACACUUGUACCAGAACGUGCGCGUGACGGCGGACACUGCCACCCGGCGCACAUGC